rnacentral:rRNA from 1 species
UGGGGAAUUUUGGACAAUGGGCGAAAGCCUGAUCCAGCAAUGCCGCGUGUGUGAAGAAGGCCUUCGGGUUGUAAAGCACUUUUGUCCGGAAAGAAAUCCUUGGCUCUAAUACAGUCGGGGGAUGACGGUACCGGAAGAAUAAGCACCGGCUAACUACGUGCCAGCAGCCGCGGUAAUACGUAGGGUGCAAGCGUUAAUCGGAAUUACUGGGCGUAAAGCGUGUGCAGGCGGUUUGCUAAGACCGAUGUGAAAUCCCCGGGCUCAACCUGGGAACUGCAUUGGUGACUGGCAGGCUAGAGUAUGGCAGAGGGGGGUAGAAUUCCACGUGUAGCAGUGAAAUGCGUAGAGAUGUGGAGGAAUACCGAUGGCGAAGGCAGCCCCCUGGGCCAAUACUGACGCUCAUGCACGAAAGCGUGGGGAGCAAACAGGAUUAGAUACCCUGGUAGUCCACGCCCUAAACGAUGUCAACUAGUUGUUGGGGAUUCAUUUCCUCAGUAACGUAGCUAACGCGUGAAGUUGACCGCCUGGGGGAGUACGGUCGCAAGAUUAAAACUCAAAUGAAUUGACGGGGUCAUAGCUGUUUCCU